rnacentral:rRNA from 1 species
GUGAGGUAACGGCUCACCAAGGCGACGACGGGUAGCUGGUCUGAGAGGACGAUCAGCCACACUGGGACUGAGACACGGCCCAGACUCCUACGGGAGGCAGCAGUAGGGAAUCUCGCGCAAUGGGGGAAACCCUGACGCAGCGACGCCGCGUGCGGGAUGAAGGCCUUAGGGUUGUAAACCGCUUUCAGCAGGGACGAAACUGACGGUACCUGCAGAAGAAGGCCCGGCCAACUACGUGCCAGCAGCCGCGGUAAUACGUAGGGGCCAAGCGUUGUCCGGAAUCAUUGGGCGUAAAGAGCUCGUAGGCAGUUUGGUAAGUCGGAUGUGAAAUCUCCACGCUCAACGUGGAGCGGCCAUUCGAUACUGCCAUGACUUGAGUCCGGUAGAGGAGUGUGGAAUUCCCAGUGUAGCGGUGAAAUGCGCAGAUAUUGGGAGGAACACCAGUAGCGAAGGCGACACUCUGGGCCGGUACUGACGCUGAGGAGCGAAAGCGUGGGGAGCGAACAGGAUUAGAUACCCUGGUAGUCCACGCCGUAAACGUUGGGCACUAGGUGUGGGGCUCUAUCGACGAGUUCCGUGCCGUAGCUAACGCAUUAAGUG